rnacentral:tRNA from 1 species
GCUCUGUUCGACUAUCGGCUAGGUCGUUGCCCUUUCAAGGCAGAGAGACGGGUUCGACUCCCGUACAGAGCACCA